UACGUAGGGUGCAAGCGUUUAAUCGGAAUUACUGGGCGUAAAGCGUGCGCAGGCGGUUGUGCAAGACCGAUGUGAAAUCCCCGGGCUUAACCUGGGAAUGGCAUUGGUGACUGUACGGCUAGAGUGUGUCAGAGGGGGGUAGAAUUCCACGUGUAGCAGUGAAAUGCGUAGAGAUGUGGAGGAACACCGAUGGCGAAGGCAGCCCCCUGGGUCAAGAUUGACGCUCAUGCACGAAAGCGUGGGGAGCAAACAGG
rnacentral:rRNA from 1 species